rnacentral:rRNA from 1 species
CAGUUCAGACUGCAGGCUGCAACUCGCCUGCACGAAGUCGGAAUUGCUAGUAAUCGUAGGUCAGCAUACUACGGUGAAUACGUUCCCGGGCCUUGUACACACCGCCCGUCAAACCAUGAGAGCUGGCAACACCCGAAGUCGGUAGUCUAACCGCAAGGAGGACGCCGCCGAAGGUGGGGUCGAUGAUUAGGGUUAAGUCGUAACAAGGUAUC